rnacentral:rRNA from 1 species
GAUGAACGCUGGCGGCGUGCCUAACACAUGCAAGUCGAGCGAGCAGAUGAGGAGCUUGCUCCUCUGGCGUUAGCGGCGCACGGGUGAGUAACACGUGGAUAACCUACCUAUAAGACUGGGAUAACUUCUGGAAACCGGAGCUAAUACCGGAUAAUAUAUUGAACCGCAUGGUUCAAUAGUGAAAGACGGUUUUGCUGUCACUUAUAUAUGGAUCCGCGCCGCAUUACCUAGUUGGUAAGGUAACGGCUUACCAAGACAACGAUGCGUAGCCGACCUGAGAGGGUGAUCGGCCACACUAGAACUGAGACACGGUCCAGACUCCUACGGGAGGCAGCAGUAGGGAAUCUUCCGCAAUGGGCGAAAGCCUGACGGAGCAACGCCGCGUGAGUGAUGAAGGUCUUCGGAUCGGAAAACUCUGUUAUUAGGGAAGAACAACUGUGUAAGUAACUGUGCACGUCUUGACGGUACCUAAUCAGAAAGCCACGGCUAACUACGUG